CCACGCAUAUCUGAACUGGUCUCUCAAAGGCAACAGCAGAAGUCACACUGAGAGAACCCUGUGAAGUCCUCCUCUGUGGCUGGCAAGAGUCUGGGCUCUGAAACCCAGGACCAUCAGGUGAAGAUGGAGAGCAAGCGAUAUGCUUUUGGUGGCACUGGUGGAGGAGAGACCUUUCCUCCUGGGCCUCGUUCAGAGCCUGGGACUCUCCUGAUCCAGGGAUCCACAUGCUGGG